GUAAUAUAAACAAAUAAGUAAAUAUGUUCAUUAUUUAUCUUUCAAGAGAUAAUGUAGGUAUACAUUAUAAUAACAUUUUGACACAGUCGAAAUUAUAUUCCUAACAUUAGUAAAAUAACAUUUUAAUAUUUUUUUUAUAGGUUAUGUAUUGAAAUUGUUGGAAAAUUAUUUCAUGUUUUAGCUGGAAAACUACAUGGAGAAUUAUAUGCAAUACAAGAUAAUGAGCUCCAUUAAAUGAAUUCGAAUGAAACCAAACUGUUUACCAUCCAAAUUCGAUUGUCGGGCAGAUAGAAAACGAAAAUUCACUCAUAGUGAACCUCGGCCUGCAUUUGUGAAACGGCAAAGACUCACUAUUAUCAAGGAAAUUAAAGAGACAACUAAAAAUGAGAUGUGUCGUAUUAUUAUACCUUUGCCAUCUUGUAGUCAAGAUGUCCAGCCACUUGAAAAUAGGUGUAGUAAUGACAAAGCUAUCCAAGUAGCUCCAGCACAGGAACACAAAGGCAAGGCAAGUGUGUAUUGCCACAUCACCCCUUAAUAUAUCUGAAGCAAGUAUAAGUAAACAAUCAGAACCAGCAAAAAAAAAAAAAUGUUGUUCCUGAGGACAAAUUUGACAGUGAUGAGUCAAAUGCACCAGCAACAGAAGGAUCAACUGUUGACUAUGAGUUAUCUCUCUAUAUCUCCACUCCAUCAAAGACUUGUGCACUUCAGACUAUAGUUCUCAAGAAGACUAAAAAGUUGAAAAAAUGAAUGUGUUAACAACUUUAUCUAAAGUGAAAAAUAAACAACGUUUAUAUAUUGGUCUUCCACAAGAAUUAUGUUUCAUAAUAGGCUUGAUUGAGAAACAUACAAAUGUUUCUGAAUAAAAUAUUAUAUUAUGUCUGAUGAGAAUAACAUUAAAUAGAACAUUCUCUCAAUUGGCUGAUGAUUUCGAUUUAUCUGUAAGUCAAGCAAGCAAUAUAUUUUUCAACAAACUCCCAGAAAUUGCAAAUGUAAUAUCACCCCUUGUUAGACUAUAAAAAAAACAAUACAAUAAAUAUAUAUGCAGGAAGGAUAAUUGAUGUCAACUUGGUGGAAAAUAGAAAGUUUUUAGAUAGUUUGCCACCUACAAAACUCUUUAAUUAAAUAAGUAAUCCUUACUUAUAAAUAGGAAGUUUUGUAAGUAUUUUCACUCUUCAUUCAAAAACUACUGAACAGAUUUUAAUAAGACUUUUAUGCUGGUCUUCUAUGGCUAGCAACUCAUUAUUAUUUUGAUUCUGUUUUCCACAAAUGUGCUAAAUAUGGGCUUAUAUAUAUGAAAAGGAAUAAAUAUUAAUGUUAUGUAACCUUUGUACCUGUAUGUUAAGAAUAAUUUUUAAUAAAACAUAAUUUAAAUUGAAA